rnacentral:rRNA from 1 species
GACGAACGCUGGCGGCGUGCUUAACACAUGCAAGUCGAACGAAAAGAGGGAAAGAGCUUGCUCUUUCCGGAAUUGAGUGGCAAACGGGUGCGAAACACGUAAACAACCUGCCUUCAGGAUGGGGACAACAGACGGAAACGACUGCUAAUACCGAAUAAGUUCCAAGGGCCGCAUGGCCCAUGGCAGAAAAGGUGGCCUCUACCUGUAAGCUAUCGCCGGAAGAGGGGUUUGCGGCUGAUUAGCCGGUUGGAGGGGUAACGGCCCACCAAGGCGACGGUCAGUAGCCGGUCUGGGAAGAUGGACGGCCAAAACGGAAUUGGGACACGGUCCAGACUCCUACGGGAGGCCACAGUGGGGAAUCUUCCGCAAAGGGCGAAAGCCUGACUGAGCAACGCCGGGUGGGGGAUGACGGCCUUCGGGAUGUAAAACUCUGUGAUCCGGGACGAAAAGGCAGUGUGCGAAGAACAAACUGCAUUGACGGUACCGGAAAAGCAAGCCACGGCUAACUACGUG